UCAGAAGAGCAACAUGUUCCGUGGCGCACAUUUCUUAUGAGUCAUUAACUCGCUAGUUUCUUGUUGGAGCUGCAAGGAGUUUGACAGACUGUGGAAAUAUUAAUCUCAUUUAUCAUGGAUUUCUAAACAAAGUUGUAAACAGAGUUGAAACCCAGGACACGGCCUCAGUCUGUUUGUCUCGGUUCACUGCUUCCAUAGCAACUUCUGCCAGGACUAUUGCAAGUUAAUUUAUUACAAUCCCCCCCCCCCCAAAAACAUCACAAGGAGAGCAACAGUGCACCUGCCAGACUAGGCUGCUGGAAAACAGUCUGUACAGAAAUAUGCUGUAGGCCUCAUAUAUGGAGCUUUGAUGCAAAAUGUUUCUUUUCAAAUCUUCCCUCUGGUGCAUCGUCUUCAGCCUGUGUUCGUCAGCCUGCGGCUUGGAGUUCAUAAAAUAUGACAGGGAUGCAGUUAUUUGCCAACAGGCAUUUUCUGACUGCACCAUCAGAAACGGUCUUUAUGAACAAAACGACAACCAUGUUCAGUUUGAAGCAUCUUUCAAGCUCUGCUGUAAGGCCGAAAGAAACUGUACACUUUGUCUUGUGCUAGAGACAGAAAUCAGCAACAUCCCUAUGGAUAAAGAUGUGGAAAACGACAACCACUCUGGCACUGAUGAGGAAGAUGACAAUGAGGACACAACACUUGAGAGAUCUUCUGUGAUGGCAUGUUACCAUGAUCCAGCCAGCACCAUGCCCGGAUGCAAGAAGGUGGAGUUUACAGUUAAUUACACCACUCUUGCUCACCAGAACAGUAGCAAGAUAACCAUUGUGAUCACAGACAAGUUUCAUUUUGGAAGCCAAAUAACCGUUUACCCCAACAUACGACUUGAUGCACCUUCGGAACUGAAUGUGUGUUCCCAGGAAUCCUUCCAGCAACGCAUACCCAUGUGUCCAGUGCCAAAGUUCCGCAUCGAUCCAGUUUUCAAGGAAAAUUAUGUUGAGCUGCUGAUUGAGGGCAACAAUUCCCGUCCCUCACUCUGCAUCAAAUACGAGGAGAACGGACGCUGUCUGAGUUUGGCCCAGACCACCAUCCCCAUUCAUUCUGUGGCACCUUGCAUGUGCAUACAGGUAUGGGAUAAAGAUGAUGAGGGAGCUGUGCGUUCUCAAUUAUGCCACUUUGACAAAAUAGUUAAAGGAUCGCCACCUCCUUUACAACACUUAAUGUCGAAAAACGUCUCGGUGAAUGUGCGCCUGAGCAAAAUGGGUGACAGAAACACAGUGCUUUUAUGGAACCUCACUGCCCCCUGCAGGCUGGAUGGUGAAGUGUCGCUUUGUCUCAAACCGAGCAGCAGCGAAAAUCUUGCUGGUGUGAGCAACUGGAAACAAAACAGUAUGGGACUUUGGGUAAAACAAGGAGCAUUUGAAAACGUUGAUGAAAGCAUUUCCCAGUGUGUUAUGGUGAAAAUAAACAGAACACAUCAGGAAUUUGGUCCAUUUUGCACGUCUGACACUAGCAGAUGGCGCUGGACUCUCCUGAUUGUCGGUGUUUUGCUGGUUGGUUGUCUGACAGCAUUAAUGAUUCAUUUCCUGCGUGAUUAUGUGAAGAAAUGGGUGUGGAGCUGGCAGCACGGUGGAUUCGUAAGGAUUGGCAGGAAGGGCCAUGUGGUUCUGCUGAGCCCCCCAGAUUUGGAUGACACUGUUUCAGAGUCAGUUUGUCUGCUGGGUUCCCAGCUCUGUAGCCAGGGCUUCAGUGUGUCUGUGGAUCAGUGGUGCAGGAAGGAUCAAUGCACAAUGGGACCUCUGCCAUGGCUCUACUCCCAACUCCAGAAGCUGGACAACAUGGGUGGUCGGGUUUUGCUGGUUCUCACCCAGAAAGCCUUAGAAAAAACUGAAGAGUGGACCCUCUUGAACAACAACGGAGAAGGAAGGGAUCAGCAACAGAUGAAGUCACCUUAUUCUGAUCUAUUUACGGCCUCAUUGUUCAUCAUUCAGGCCCACAAGAGGCUGGGCAGGGUGGCCGAGCGCUUUGUUCUGGUGAAAAUCGACUCCCACCAAACACAGAGUCACAGCAGCGACGGGAGACUUCCAGAGCUGCUUCAAGGGCUUCCUCUGUUUCUGCUUCCCUCUCAGAGCCAGUCGCUCACAGCUGAACUGAUUGUAGAAGAGGCAGAAACGACAAGGAUAAGCUGGAGGAGGAAUAUCUGAAGCAAGUGGAGGUUAUCAAAACCAUUUUGUUAAAACACCGUGGAUGAAUUUACAAAAAGACGUCAUAUAAAAAAUACUGCUGCAGAAUCAACAUGAAGGAUAUGCUUAUCUGGACUGAACAGUCUUUGGUUUGUAAAGAAGUAGUCCUGAAUUGUGAAAGUGAGGUUCUGGUGCCAGAUUUUAGGCAGUUAUCUUAGAUAUCUUAGAGUUGCAUCAGACAACUAUUUUGGGUUCUUUAUUUAGUAUAAAGCCAGGUUAGUUUGUUCUAUUGACCAAAUCUAAAGACUUGAUUGACAGAGACCAAAUCCAUAACAGAAUUUGGCCAUCUUAAAAGAACUUAAAUCUUUAAACCUCUAGGUCAAUUUAGAUUAUUUCUGUUUCAUGAAUCUUUUAAAUUGUCCUCAUUUUGUACUGGCCUGUUAUUUAUAGAGAAGGUGAUGGUUAUCUAACCAGGAAGUGAAGGUUGUAGGUAGUGUGCCUUAAAUGAUGUUCCUGUGUGAAGUUAGUACAGAGAAAAAAGCUAAACACAUUUUUUUCAGUCAAAGUAGUUUCUUAAUUGUGUAAAAAGUGAAAUGUGUAAACAUUUAAGUACUUAAACAGCUAUAGUACUAUUACUUUUAGUCUACUUGUAUAGAUGACAGCUACUCUGACUGAAAAUGCUUUCAUGCUCCAGUUUUUGUACUUUUCACACAGGAUGGUCAUUGGUGGCACACUGUCUCUUACCUUCACGUUCUGUGUAAUUAAAAACCAGCUUUUGUGUAAAUAACCCACCAAUGCAAACAUAAUGAUGGUCUAAGCCUAACAAAUUAGCGUUCCCUCAAAAUGUUAUGACACUUUGAGAUUAAAUUUGUUGCAGGAUGGUGUGCUUUGCUACUGGCCCUUCUUUAAGGGGCUUGCUUCAUCCUCCAGGACCAACUAUUUUGGAUUUAUACUAAAUUAACUACUACGAUUUUCUACAAGUAUAAUAACUGCUUACAACCUCUUCACAGAACCUCAUUUCAGUUACACAACCAGUGCUACAAUAAUGUUAUAAUGUAAUAUUCUUUCUUUAAAGAAAGACUGUGUUUUGGUCUUCUCUCAAUCCUUUGCUGAAAAUCUGAAAUAUGUUCCUGAAGCAGGUGACGUGCAGCGUCAUGAAUAAAUCUGAAGGGCAAUAAGCACAUAAAUAUGUAGACAGGUAAAUUGUAAUUUAUGGCUUCUAUUUUUAUUGUAAAUAAAUUGUAAAUAGGGAUAUUUUUUUUACUCAUCUAUGAAUACUAGCUUCAAAGCUAUAACAUAACCUAAUCGUAAAUUUUUCAAAUUGUAAAUAAUAAUCAAAUUAUUAUUAUGUAAUAUAAUAGAAACAGUCUUUAUUGUCCUGCAAAGGGGAAAUUGAAGUGUUUACACAAAAAGUUCUUAAAGUGUUUAAAACGAUAUAUAAAGAUUGAUAAUAAUAAUAAUAAUAAUGAUACACUGUACAAGACUAUAACAGAAAGCUUCACGUCUUUUAACUUAAACAAAAUAAAACUACUGGUCAUGGCGCAGUAUAUGAGCCAGUCACACUUAGCUAAAAAUAAACUUGCGACCUAAAAGCGCUUAACCAGUUGCAGAGGAUCUUAUUGGUUCAGAGCAGUGUCAGUUUCAGAGAUGCGUUUGUGAAGAGUUUUUAUGACGAUCCGGGAGGGCGGUGUUAGGAGAUAUAAGUGAUAACAACGAGCCCCGCUCCCUUCGGUGGUUUGGAUGUGAUUCGCAGUCAAAUAGUCAGAGUAGCAAGUCAAAAGCGUCUCGUUUGGAUUGUGUGCUUGACUUGUGUAAGGAGGAGGUAAAAAGACGCUCUGUUGUGCUUAAAGUGUUUUCUUAAAUUCACUUUCUGUUGACUGUGUGUGUUGUUUAGCUAUCAGUUUGGCAGAAAGUUAAUAUUUGUCUUUAUUUUGAGAUUUUAAUUGUAGGCACUGGUUUUUUAUUUAUAUAUUUCAUGCAAUUUCUGAUAAGCCAAAGGCAAUUGUGUUAUAUUGCGCAACUCUAUUGUUUACAAGUACUGUUAUAAAUACUAUUGCUGUAUUGAAGAUCUAUUUCUUAAAUAAAAAAGGGGAGCCCAGAAUGUC